rnacentral:tRNA from 1 species
GAUCCCGUAGCUCAGCCGGUAGAGCAUCUGACUUUUAAUCAGAGGGUCCUGGGUUCGAGUCCCAGCGGGAUCA